UAAACCUAGGGAUUGAUACCCUAUUAUUUUAAAUUAAAGUUAAUAAUAUUGGAGAAUAAAUGUUAAAUCAUUAAAUUUAAAUAGUUUGGCGGUAUCUUAUAAAAUUAGAGGAAUCUGUUGAGUGAAUGAUAAUCCACGAUAGGAGGGUCUUAAUAUUUUUUUAUGUAUUGUUGUUUAAAUAUUAGUUUAGAAGAAUUUAAUAGAAGUUUAAAAUUUUUAUAAAAUAAUUCAAAUCAAAAUGUAGAAUUAUUAAGUUUUAAUGGAUUACAAUUUAAUAUAUAUUAUUGGAGUUUAAAUUUUAAUUAUUUAGAUGAAAAUGGAUUUAGUAGUAAAUUUAUAAAAUAUUAUAGGUUGAAAUUUACAUGAGAUAUGUACAAAUUGCCGGUCAUUUUAA
rnacentral:rRNA from 1 species